rnacentral:rRNA from 1 species
UACGAAGGGGGCUAGCGUUGUUCGGAAUUACUGGGCGUAAAGCGCACGUAGGCGGACAUUUAAGUCAGGGGUGCAAUCCCGGGGCUCAACCCCGGAACUGCCUUUGAUACUGGGUGUCUAGAGUCCGGAAGAGGUGAGUGGAAUUCCGAGUGUAGAGGUGAAAUUCGUAGAUAUUCGGAGGAACACCAGUGGCGAAGGCGGCUCACUGGUCCGGUACUGACGCUGAGGUGCGAAAGCGUGGGGAGCAAACAGG